UUAGGAAUUUUGGGCAAUGGGCGCAAGCCUGACCCAGCAACGCCGCGUGGGCGAGGAAGCCCUUCGGGGUGUAAAGCCCUUUUCCCGGGGACGAAUCUGACGGUACCCGGGGAAGAAGCCCCGGCUAACUACGUGCCAGCAGCCGCGGUAAUACGUAGGGGGCGAGCGUUGUCCGGAUUCAUUGGGCGUAAAGCGCGCGCAGGCGGCCGCGAGAGCCCGGCGUGAAAGCCCCCGGCUCAACCGGGGGAGGCCGUUGGGGACCUCGUGGCUGGAGGCCGGUAGGGGCGAGCGGAAUUCCCGGUGUAGUGGUGGAAUGCGUAGAGAUCGGGAGGAACACCGGUGGCGGAGGCGGCUCGCUGGGCCGGUCCUGACGCUCGGGCGCGAAAGCGUGGGGAGCGAUCCG
rnacentral:rRNA from 1 species